UACGUAGGGGGCUAGCGUUGCUCGGAAUUACUGGGCGUAAAGGGCGCGUAGGCGGACAGUUUAGUCAGAGGUGAAAGCCCAGGGCUCAACCUUGGAAUUGCCUUUGAUACUGGCUGUCUUGAGUUCGGGGGAGGUGAGUGGAAUGCCGAGUGUAGAGGUGAAAUUCGUAGAUAUUCGGCGGAACACCAGUGGCGAAGGCGACUCACUGGCCCGAUACUGACGCUGAGGCGCGAAAGCGUGGGGAGCAAACAGG
rnacentral:rRNA from 1 species